rnacentral:miRNA from 1 species
UGCGAGAGUGCUUGAAGAGACGGC